CAAAGUCACUUAUAAAGAGAAGAUGAUGGGUGGAAAAAAAAAAGUGGUUAGAGCAAACCUGACUUCCUGUGCUUGACAUGUUUGAACUUUUCCUCUCUUUGCUCUUUACUAGAGUUCAUCACUGUCUGGAGGGACCCAGUUUUCAUAUUCAAAUGCUUAUUUACAACUACAAUAUGAUGAUUAUGCAGCUUUAUCUCUAUCUACUCAUAUGGUGUCAAGCUGCAGAGACUUUAACGGAUCAACUAACAGAUUUGGGGCAAAAUGUGACCAUAAACUGUGAUGGUGAUAAAGAUGAAGUUUAUUGGUUUUUACUGAAAUUUCCAGAUUCUUCGGCUGUGAUAUUGCGCUCUUUCUCAAACCCAACUCCUUUUUACUACAAUAAAAGCUUCGGACACAAAUAUUCAGUGGAAUCUAAACAUAAUCUGUUCAUAAAAAAUGUCACUACUGAUGAAUUAGGAGUUUAUUACUGUAUAAGCACAGAUUCAAAAUUCAGCAGUGGCAUCAGACUACACAUCAUUGAACCAACACCACAAACUGAGUACCAGAAUCAUACAGUCGUGCAGUUUAUUCAGCAGAAUCAGACGGUGGUGAAGUACAUUCAGCAGAAUCAGACGUCAUGGCAGACUCUUACCCUCAUAUCUGCUCUGUUCAAUGCUGUUUUGGUCGUUGUGGUCAUAGGACUUUUGAAGUUUUGUGCUGUUAGAAGGUCUGCAGAACAACAACGUCAUAAUACCAAUGCACUGCCGACACAAGAUAUACAACAGCAUUUAUAUUCAAAUGAAUUACAGGUCUGCAGAAGAACAACUUCAUAAUACUGAUACAGCCAACACAAGAUAUACAACAGCAUCUAGAUCCAAAUCAAUUACAGGUCCAUCGAUCCAUCCAUCGAUCCAUCCAUCCAUCCAUCCAUCCAUCCAUCCAUCCAUCCAUCCAUCAGUUGUUAAGACUUAGAGUUAGAUUUGUUACCAGAAUUCAAACUAAAUGAAUAAAAUAAACUUAAAAUCUUUCAGUUGAGUUUACUCUAAUGAAUGACUAAACCAGCACUAAAAUAUAAGUGAAUUUAACUCACUGUAUAUGAGUUUACAAUACUCAUACCUCUUAUUGGUUUUUAAACUUAAAUGGUUUAUGGCAAUCAGAUUCCUCAAAUGGUUUGACUUACUGCAACUUAUAUAUUGUAUAUUAUUUUUUUACUGAUUGACCUGACGAAGACCUUUUUGUCUUUUUAAUAAAUUUUGAGAGCAGCA